AAAAACAGCCGUUGGCUGUUCAGAGAAAGUGGAUUGACAAAUUCUGUCUGCAGCUCUGUUAUGGGAUUGCUAACCUUGCCUAGGGGAUGGAACAUGGUGAGGAAUGGGUAAUAAUUUAGUAAAUAUUAGUAACUAUUUAGCCUUGUGGUUAAAUGAUCUUAAAUCAUUGUACUUGAGCACACAAAACCUUUUCUUGUGUUCCGGAAACACAGCCUUUGACUUACAUCCCCCUAUUCCUCACUGUCUCUGGCAUCUCCCCUUGCCACAUGUCCUGUUUUACUCUGUGUAGCAAUGGAUGGCAAUGGUGGCAAUUGGUCAUUUAUUAGCUGACCUAAGUAAAUUGUAGGUCAAACACUGCUGAAGAGGCAAGAGUCUACAUUUUAAAACACAAGUCAUUAAGCUCUCUGCUUCAUAUUUUGCUUCCAUAGUCCAUGUAUUUUCAGACAUUAAAGCUGAUCACUGCAAAGAAAUGUUGGGUAGCUCAGUUAUUAAUCGGUAAAUCAAUUCUAUCCACAUCACAAUGUUGCUGCAUCACCAGGAAUCCUGUUGAGUAUCUCCCUGAAAAUGCAUGUCUCUGAAAAUGCUCUUAAUGGCAUGCUGAUUCCUAUCUUAGAGAAAUGGGAAUCGGAGAGUGCUAUCAUGCAGUAGCAUUCCUCAGUAGCCUGUCAUACGAGGCUAUCUAAUUGUCUGUGUUUUUCAAAGUGUGAUGUGUCUGUAUGUAUGCAUGUGCACAUACAAUACACACUAUUUUCUGUGUUUUUUUCAAUGUUCUUCAGAGUACGUGUUCACCCUGAAGGAAAGACUGCCAUUUGAAAAUGCUCUGAAGAAUCAUUUUGCUGCUCUUUCAUUUUUAGUGGAGACAUGUCCUUCUGACAUCUUCAUGAGAAAUUGUGGAUGCAACUUCAUGGUGCCACAGGCAUUCAAGCAUUUUUACUUUAAAAACAGUAAGUCAUACUAAUUCAGGUGAAUUAAAUGAUAAAUAAAGUAUUAUACUAUGGUAUAAUAGCUUAUAGA
rnacentral:lncRNA from 1 species